AUGGCUCAGAUUGAACGCUGGCGGCAGGCCUAACACAUGCAAGUCGAGCGGCAGCACGGGUACUUGUACCUGGUGGCGAGCGGCGGACGGGUGAGUAAUGCCUAGGAAUCUGCCUGGUAGUGGGGGAUAACGUUCGGAAACGAACGCUAAUACCGCAUACGUCCUACGGGAGAAAGCAGGGGACCUUCGGGCCUUGCGCUAUCAGAUGAGCCUAGGUCGGAUUAGCUAGUUGGUGAGGUAAUGGCUCACCAAGGCGACGAUCCGUAACUGGUCUGAGAGGAUGAUCAGUCACACUGGAACUGAGACACGGUCCAGACUCCUACGGGAGGCAGCAGUGGGGAAUAUUGGACAAUGGGCGAAAGCCUGAUCCAGCCAUGCCGCGUGUGUGAAGAAGGUCUUCGGAUUGUAAAGCACUUUAAGUUGGGAGGAAGGGCAGUUACCUAAUACGUAAUUGUUUUGACGUUACCGACAGAAUAAGCACCGGCUAACUCUGUGCCAGCAGCCGCGGUAAUACAGAGGGUGCAAGCGUUAAUCGGAAUUACUGGGCGUAAAGCGCGCGUAGGUGGUUCGUUAAGUUGGAUGUGAAAUCCCCGGGCUCAACCUGGGAACUGCAUUCAAAACUGUCGAGCUAGAGUAUGGUAGAGGGUGGUGGAAUUUCCUGUGUAGCGGUGAAAUGCGUAGAUAUAGGAAGGAACACCAGUGGCGAAGGCGACCACCUGGACUGAUACUA
rnacentral:rRNA from 1 species